GGAAAAUUAAUGUGGCUCUACCAAAAAAGUCAAGUAAAUGCACAUCACCAACUUCAAUAUUCCGCUAAAAGAGACAAUCAAUUAUGCCUUUCCAUGUAGUUUCCUACUCAAAUUUCCACUACUAGCUAGCCUUAGACUUGAAUAUCAAUACUCCAUGCAUGAGUAAAUUUUGAAUCAUUGACUUGCCAUGUGAACUUCUCUAUUAAAUUUUAGCACCCAUUAACUCCAACUUCACAACCAACCCAACAAUGGCCAAGCUUAGCUUGCUUUUCCUAUUGUUCAUAUUCUUGAUCACUACCACUUCUCUUUCCUGUCCAGAUGAUCAGAAGCAAGCCCUUCUCCAAUUCAAAUCCUUGAUUAUCAAUAUCAUCAACUCAUCUUCUUCUGAUUAUUAUUAUCCUCUUGGCUUGGAUUCAUGGAACUCAAGUUCAGAUUGUUGUUAUUGGGAGAUGGUGACCUGCAAUUCUCGCUCAAGUUCAAGAUCAGUGAUAGCUCUUGAUCUUCACGCCGUGGUUCCAUCUCAAGUGCCCAUAUCAAUACCUUCUUCUGUGUUAUCACCUCUCUCUCGCAUUAAAACCUUGAUGUUGCUCGAUAUAUCCUAUAAUUACAUACUGGGUGAGAUUCCAGCUAACGUAUUUGCCAAUCUCAGCAGAUUGGUUCAUCUAGACAUGAUGUUAAACAAUUUUAGUGGCUCCAUCCCUCCUCAGAUUUUUCACUUGAAGUAUCUUCAAUAUCUUGAUAUCAGUAACAACCUUCUGACUGGUAUGCUAAGCCAGGAAGUGGGCUCCCUUGAAAACUUGAGGGUACUGAAGUUGGAUUAUAAUUCUAUAGCAGGAAAUAUCUCUCGAGAGAUUGGAAACCUUACAAAAUUGCAGCGGUUGAGUCUUCGCAGCAACAAUUUUGUAUGGAGCAUUCCAUCUUCUAUUCUCUAUCUGAAGGAAUUGCAGGAAUUGGACUUGAGGGACAACGCUUUAUCAAUGGAGAUUCCUGCUAAUAUAGGUGAUCUUACCAACCUGAUCACGCUGGCCUUGAGCAAUAACCGGCUAAGUGGAGGAAUCCCAUCAUCAAUACAGAAACUGAGCAAGUUGCAAGUUCUCAGGUUGGAAGACAACAUUCUUGCUGGAGGAAUUCCAACAUGGUUGUUUGACAUGAAGAGCCUGAAGGAUCUGUUUAUUGGUGGGAAUAAUCUGACUUGGGAUAACAACGCAGACUUAAUGCCAACUUUUAUGUUAUCUCAGUUGUCUAUAAAAUCAUGCGGGCUUCAAGGAAGAAUCCCAGAUUGGAUUUCGACGCAGAGGACUCUUGAUUUCUUGGAUUUGAGUGAGAAUAUGCUCCAAGGACCCUUUCCGCAAUGGCUAGCUGAAAUGAAUCUAGGCGCCAUUGUCCUGUCUGAUAACAAACUCUCAGGUGCUCUUCCUCCGCGUCUGUUUGAAUCUCAGAGUUUAUCUGUACUUGCCUUAUCAAGGAACAACUUCUCUGGAGAAUUGCCAGCAAAUAUUGGGAAUGCCAAUGCUAUUAUAAUUCUCAUGUUGUCUGAUAACAACUUUUCAGGGAAGAUUCCAGAGUCCAUCUCUGAGAUUUAUCGGCUUAUUCUGCUAGAUUUGUCAGGAAAUAGAUUCUCAGGGAAAAUCCCAAUUUUUAAACCUGACGCAUUGCUAGCUUUCAUCGAUUUCUCUUCUAAUGAGUUCUCAGGUGAGGUUCCGGUGACAUUUUCUGAAGAAACCAUUAUCCUUUCAUUAGGAAACAAUAAGUUCUCUGGCAGAUUACCAAAAAACCUCACUAACUUGAGGAAGCUUCAACAUCUUGAUCUCCAUGACAAUAACAUUACAGGAAAAUUGCCAACAUCUCUCUCCCAAAUUUCCAGUCUUCAAGUCCUGAACUUACGCAACAACUCCUUCGAAGGUUCUAUUCCUGACACAAUUUCCAACCUCACUAGUCUCCGAAUUCUUGAUGUGUCAAACAACAACCUCAUUGGGGAAAUUCCUGUCAAGUUUGGAAAUCUGCUAGGAAUGAUAGAAACACCCAUUACCUUUGCAUCAAUUGCGGACAUGUUCAUCAUUCCCAUUGAGUUCAAUGACUUGGUUGUGAAUUGGAAGAAUUCAAAGCGAGGUCUUUCAAGCUACAGCCUGGAUAUCUACUCCUUGCUAGACUUGUCAAAGAACCAACUUUCUGGCAAAAUCCCAGCUUCACUAGGUCACUUGAAAGGUCUAAAGAUACUGAAUAUUUCACACAACCACAUCUCUGGCAAGAUACCAGAAAGUUUUAGUGAUUUAGAGAGUGUAGAAAGCCUGGACUUGUCACACAACAAACUAUCAGGGUCUAUUCCUCAGACCCUGUCACAGUUGCAGGAACUUGCUAUUCUGGAUGUGAGCAACAACAAGCUGGAGGGUAAGAUUCCUGAGGGAGGCCAAAUGGACACGAUAGAUGAUCCAAGCUAUUACGCCAACAACAGUGGGUUGUGUGGUCUGCAAAUUAGGGUGGCAUGUCCAUCAGAGCAAUCACCUGCACCUGCGGAGACACCAGAAGAGGAAGC
rnacentral:misc_RNA from 1 species